rnacentral:Y_RNA from 1 species
GGCUGGUCCGAAGGUAGUGAGUUGUUACCUCAUUUGAUUGUUUACAGUCGGUUACAGAUUGAACUCCUUGUUCUGCUACUUUACCCCCUUCUCACUACUGUACUUGUCUAGUCUUAA